rnacentral:rRNA from 1 species
UGGGGAAUUUUGGACAAUGGGCGAAAGCCUGAUCCAGCAAUGCCGCGUGUGUGAAGAAGGCCUUCGGGUUGUAAAGCACUUUUGUCCGGAAAGAAAUCCUUGGCUCUAAUACAGUCGGGGAUGACGGUACCGGAAGAAUAAGCACCGGCUAACUACGUGCCAGCAGCCGCGGUAAUACGUAGGGUGCAAGCGUUAAUCGGAAUUACUGGGCGUAAAGCGUGCGCAGGCGGUUUGCUAAGACCGAUGUGAAAUCCCCGGGCUCAACCUGGGAACUGCAUUGGUGACUGGCAGGCUAGAGUAUGGCAGAGGGGGGUAGAAUUCCACGUGUAGCAGUGAAAUGCGUAGAGAUGUGAGGAAUACCGAUGGCGAAGGCAGCCCCCUGGGCCAAUACUGACGCUCAUGCACGAAAGCGUGGGGAGCAAACAGGAUUAGAUACCCUGGUAGUCCACGCCCUAAACGAUGUCAACUAGUUGUUGGGGAUUCAUUUCCUUAGUAACGUAGCUAACGCGUGAAGUUGACCGCCUGGGGAGUACGGUCGCAAGGUUAAAACUCAAAUGAAUUGACGGGGUCAUAGCUGUUUCCU